UAUUGGCUGAGAAGACAAUGUGAGAAACCACUACGGUUGUUAGAGAAAGAAGGGACAACUCGAUGAUGAAGUAGCUCUUAUGGCUGAAGACUGCAGGUCUACGACUGAUCCUGAUUGGGAAGAACAAUGAUGACAUCCAUUCAAGCUUUAUUCAUGUUCUUGUGGCUGCAGCUGGACUGCAUGAGUGGAGACGAGAAUGUGGGGCUGCAUCACCCUACCCUAGGGGUCCAGGAGGGAGACACCUCUGUUAUCAACUGUACUUAUUCAGACAGUGCUUCAACCUACUUUGCUUGGUAUAAGCAAGAACUUGGAAAAGGUCCUCAGCAUAUUAUAGACAUUCGUUCAAAUAUGGACAAGAAACAAGACCAAAGACUCACUGUCUUACUGAACAAGACAGUCAAACAUCUCUCCCUCCACAUCACAGACACCCAAGUUGGAGACUCAGCUGUUUACUUCUGUGCAGAGAAUACACAUUGCUUCCCAGGCACCUGCAACAUGUACUUUAACCUAAGACAGGAACUGAAGGCACACCCCUUUUCUUUUGACACAGACCUUUAA